AAGCUCAGCAGGAGGAUGGGACUGAGCCUCCUCUUCCUCAGCUUGCCAUGGGCAUAGAAACCUGCACUGAGAGAGCUGGGGAAAGAAAUAAACCUUAAUUACAGGUUUGCUGCUUUUUGGCUUAUUUUGGCUUUGCCAAUUUGCUCUCAACGGCCUCAGCUCCUAACCUGGGAGAAGAGAGUCAUCCAUCCUCCUGUCCUGGGAGCCAAAAGCUGCCCCAGCUUCAAUCCCUUCAGCUGCACCACUCAUCCCUGGGCUUAGAGGCGACAAGAGGAGCCUGCAAAAGGGCUGCUUCCAGAAAUGCAUCCCCAGCUCCCUGAACCCGUUUGAUGUCAGGCUAAAGGGGCUCAGCACAGGAUAGUAACUAUUAUGAAUGAGGCAUUACAAGCAGGGCUGCAGAUCACAAAUAAGUGCAUAAUAAACACAUGUAAACAGC